UACAGAGGGUGCGAGCGUUAAUCGGAAUUACUGGGCGUAAAGCGUGUGUAGGCGGCCACGUAAGUCGGAUGUGAAAGCCCCAGGCUCAACCUGGGAGGUGCACUCGAUACUGCGUGGCUUGAGUAUCGGAGAGGUUGGUGGAAUUCUCGGUGUAGAGGUGAAAUUCGUAGAUAUCGAGAGGAACACCGGUGGCGAAGGCGGCCAACUGGACGAAUACUGACGCUGAGACACGAAAGCGUGGGGAGCAAACAGG
rnacentral:rRNA from 1 species